rnacentral:rRNA from 1 species
AACGAACGCUGGCGGCAGGCUUAACACAUGCAAGUCGAACGCCCCGCAAGGGGAGUGGCAGACGGGUGAGUAACGCGUGGGAAUCUACCUAGUUCUACGGAACAACAGUUGGAAACGACUGCUAAUACCGUAUACGCCCUAUGGGGGAAAGAUUUAUCGGAAUUAGAUGAGCCCGCGUAAGAUUAGCUAGUUGGUGAGGUAAUGGCUCACCAAGGCGACGAUCUUUAGCUGGUCUGAGAGGAUGAUCAGCCACACUGGGACUGAGACACGGCCCAGACUCCUACGGGAGGCAGCAGAGGGGAAUAUUGGACAAUGGGCGCAAGCCUGAUCCAGCCAUGCCGCGUGAGUGAUGAAGGCCUUAGGGUUGUAAAGCUCUUUUGUGCGGGAAGAUAAUGACGGUACCGCAAGAAUAAGCCCCGGCUAACUUCGUGCCAGCAGCCGCAGUAACAC